rnacentral:misc_RNA from 1 species
AACUGAUACUACCUGCGGGAACCUGCGGAAGGAUCAUUACCGAGUUAUCCAACUCCCAACCCCUGUGAAUCAUACCUUUAAUUGUUGCUUCGGCGGGACUUCGCGCCCGCCGGGGACCCAAACCUUCUGAAUUUUUUAAUAAGUAUCUUCUGAGUGGUUAAAAAAAUGAAUCAAAACUUUUAGCAAUGGAUCUCU